UUCGACAACAUCCGUGAGGCCGUGGAGCGCUACCCCUUCGCCGCCAUGGACACCGAGUUCCCCGGCGUCGUUCACCGCUCCCGGAAGCACCCCGCCCACCUCUCCACCGCCGAGCGGUACGCGCUGCUCAAAGCCAACGUCGACGACCUCCACCUCAUCCAAGUCGGGCUCACCCUCUCCGACGCCGCCGGCAACCUCCCCGACCUCUGCGACGACGGCGGCGUCCGCUACAUCUGGGAGUUCAACUUCAGUGAUUUCGACCUCUACCGCGACCGCUACGCCCCCGAGUCCAUCGACCUCCUCAAGUCCAACGGGAUCGACUUCGAGAAGAACCGGGCGCGGGGAAUCGACUCCCGCCACUUCGCCGAGCUCCUAAUGUCGUCGGGACUGGUGUGCAACGACUCGGCCGUGAGCUGGGUGACGUUCCACAGCGCCUACGACUUCGCAUACCUGAUCAAGAUCCUAACUUGCCGCCGGCUGCCGGAGCAUCUGGGCGGAUUCAUGGCCUUGGUGAGGGUUUUCUUCGGGGACAAGGUGUUCGACAUGAAGCACAUGAUGAAGUACUGCCACAGCCUGUACGGCGGAUUGGAGCGGGUGGCGAGCGCCCUGGAGAUCGACCGGGCGGUGGGGCGGUGCCACCAGG
rnacentral:lncRNA from 1 species